GAGAAAAAGCAAAGGGAACAAAAUAAAGACCUAGUCCAAGCAAUGAGGAAACUCUGUGUUUCUGCAACAGCGGCAUUGGGGCAGGGAAGCAGGAGGGUGAGGUGGGACAAGGCUGAGGAAACAAAGUAAUUGCUACUGAGAGUCUUCUUUGUGCCAGUCAAGGUGCCAAGUGCUUCAAAUGGCUUACCUCACCAGCACUCAGAAGUAGCUCCACAGGAACCCGAGGCUCAGAGUUUACUGGCUUAUUCAAAAUCACCAGCUAGAGCCUGGAUUUAAACUCAGGUCCGUCAACUGCUGAACUUGUACUCACUCCUCCCAUCCCCUUUGGUUCUUUAUGUUGCUUUCGAGUCUGCAGCCUGGCUAUGUCUGAAAACAUGAAAAUACUACUUAACUGAGAGCUUAUGCCACUCAUUCUCUGCCAGGGCCUGACCACAGGUGGCCGUGCCAGAAAGGUAAGAGCAAGAUCGCAGCUGGAGCUGGCUCAGGAUGGGAGUGGGUACGAAGUUUAUCAUCAAGGCCCUAGAUUUCAGCCAAAUCCUCAGACUGUUAACUAUUUCCAAUUAAGCCAUGCUGCUGUGUCACUACUUCAACCUUCGGGCUAAAAAGACUGUCGUGAAGGUUGUCAGAGCUUGAUGUCAACACAGGAAGGGCAUGAGAUUGGGCCAUUUCAGGAAGCAGCCACACCUAUACCACGGCCACGGCAGCCUAGGUACUGUCAGAGGAGUAAGUUAAUGAACCAGUAAAAUGGAUGUCAGGUUACUCUGUCCCUGGAGGUCACCCUUGCCUGAAAGAUCCCCUUCAGCCAACCAGCUGAACUGGAAGGACGGUACAAAGCCAAGGGAAAUUAAGCCAGGGCAGGGCUGUCCAGUAGUUGAAGUGUGGCCUUCAUGCCACCAGGGUGCUGAGAAGUAGCAAAGCUACUCAGGGUAGGGCAGAACUUGACCAAUUCUAUAUUACAACCCCACUGGGUCCUAAGUAACCAGAACACAGCAGGGGUAAAGGGGCAAAGAAAACAUUCGCACUCAGCUAGCAAAACUAAAUCCACUUGUAAGUAAAUCCUGACAAUCUCAAUUUAUAGACCUCAGGCUGGGCUGGGUAUCAGAGAAGUUUGUGAGGCCUGGGCAGUCCUCACAAGUACUAGAACUUCCAGGCUUGCUUUCCUCUUAUAGCACCCUUAAGGCAACUUCCUCAAAAGGAAACUGUUCGUAUUUGACCAUCUUUAUCUGAUGUGAAUUAUGUGCAAGGUACUGUGGGGAAACCAAAUGUAUUAGUCAUGGUUUCUUCUGCCCUGAUGCUUACUUACUGUCUAGUUGAGAUAAAUGUAUCUGUACAGACAAAUCACAGGGCAGUACCAAUAACUGUAACCUGUGUAGUACAGAUUAGGAAUUAAGCAGAUUAGGAAGGCCACAGGAAAGAUAGCUCCUGAUUAGGGCUUUGACUCUGAGUGUGCAUGCACGCAUGUGCACGUACAUGUAUGUACACAUACACACACCUGAAAUAGUGAACCCUGGGUUAGACUGAGGUGGAAUUUGUAGAAAAGCGUCCCUCUGGGCCAGGAGAAGAGCACAGGCAAAGGCAUUAGGAUGGAGACGAAGCCAGUUUUAUUUCUCUAGUUAAGUCAGCCAGCUGAUGUAGGAAGAAUGAGUCCCUAGCAAGUAGGUACCUCUGACAUACCUACUUCAGAGGCUGUUUCCCAUUUCUGCCAAAGGGGACUUCUUAUUAGGGCUAAUUAUUAGGUGAUUAAAUGAGAAAAAAAAGGACACAUAAUUAGAAAGGACUAAUUACCCUGCCUCCCUGGAUGCUGGAUAUGGGAUUAAAAGUAGUACUGUCGGAUAGGUGGCAGAGCGGCAAGGAAGAGCUUAGGAAUCCAGGAGACAGUGCACUCCAGCCUCUGUCAUUAAUGGGCUCUGUGAUGGCAACCAAAGUAUU